AGCUGCUUCUACAGUAUUGAGUUGUGGUUUUUUUGCUUUUUUUUUUUUCUCUCUGAUAUAAAUUGCUUAAAUUUAAGUCUGCAGGCAUAAGACUUGGUCUCUCUUCCAAAUCACUGACGUUAGUCAUAAGUCUAAAUUUCCAGUCAUUUUAUGACUCUUGCUGAAGUACUGUCCUAAAUUGCUUCCUGUGGAUAAGAGUAGCAUAGUUUAAUUACACACUUUCGAAGAAGUAUUUCCUUUGAAUUGUUUAAAAUGUCUCCUUUGUCCCCUUGUUUUUGAAUUACUAUACACAGAGACAAAAGUUGGUCAUCAGCUGUUUUUCUACUGUUCAUUAAUGUGUGCAAUUCUGUCUUACGUCUUUUCUCAAUGGAAAAAAAAUCGCCAAAAUAUCACUCUUAAGUGUUUGUGUCUAGAAAUGCUUUUCAUAUGUCAAUAAUCUUUGUAACCCUCUCCAAAACUUCUAGAGCAGCAUCACCUUUCAUACUUGGUGAUCAAUCUGGUACUUACCAUUCCAAAUGAAGCCCCAUCAUUUUGUUACCUUAAGCAAAUAAUAAUGUUUUUGUAUUAUUCUGCAUCUCAUUCCUUGCAGAUCCUAGUAUUUUGGGAUACAGUGGUCUGAGGUCAACAAAGUCCAGCUGAUACCAAAAGAGGUUAUUUCAUACUUAAAAUUCCCGUUCACCUAUGUCGCAUCCCAGGUUCAGCCCUGAACUCCAGUAUGUGCUUCCCUGUACUACCGAGAUACCAGUUGUUGAAUGUCUUCCACUUCAGUGAUGUAGUUAGCCAAGGGAUGGAUUGGAUGGAAUGGCAGGACGUUGGGUGCACAAGACAAACCCAGGACUAUGAGUUGCAUCAGGAUGGUGAGAAACAUCAGAUGUUUACUGCCCCUGGAGAAACCCUGCAGUCUGGAGCCAGGUGCUUUCCCCAAGGAACUUGCUUACCCUGCUCUCUCUCACCCACUGCGAAGUGCCUGGCUCUGUCUCCCCUGUAACCAACUUGUAGGAUUGCUACCAACCACUGACAGGUUGCUGGUUUUAGGGCUUGAUUGAAGCUUCCUCUUUCUCAGCUGCCAGAGUAACCUGAGGAUUCCCCACAUAACCAGAAAUCUUCUAAGGUAGAACUGAUUAUGUUGUUAUUUUCGGCCACAUUUUCUUCUGAAAGAAUUAGUGAAGAACUAAUUGCUGUGCACACCUUCCUAAUAUGUUUCCUGUAACAUAAAGUAACUUCAAUUAAAGAAACAUUUCGUCAGCUUAAGAAACAAAACAAAACGAACAAUCCUUUGGCAUAUUCACAUUAAAUGCCAGCUCUGAGUGCAGUUAAGCUCUGCUGACAAGUUGCCCACAAAGGCUGUAGCACCUCCAUCUUUGAAAAUUUUCAAAACUUGACUGAACAAUCAAACUUUUUGAGACUAAUAUAAUCUAAUCUAACUUUUAAAGACUAAUCUUAUCUAACUUUUAAAUUAGUGGUGCUUUGAUCAGGAUGUUGAAUUAUGUUACACCCAGCCCUCCCUUCAGUGGGAAUCUCUCCAGUAGAAGGAUAAUUAGUUAAGUACAUUACAUUUUUGAAUUGGGGAAGUAGGCAAACAAAACAAGCACAGAAAACAACUCCUUGGGAGCUUUUUUUUCAGGUUUUCUUUUUUAAAUACAUUCUAAGUUCUUCCAAAAGGAAACACUGAAAAUCAUGAGCAGCAGCAAAUAGUGAUCGAGAGGGACGCUUUUAUUAAAUAAAGAAUUUAGAGUAUCAGUGUUACAGACAUAAUUCAGUGGGUAUCUGCUGCCCCCUUCAGACUACAUUAAAGAAAAACAAAUUUUUAAAUCAGAAAUUAAUAGCAUUCCAUUCUUUUGCACUAGUUUUUGCUGGGCAGUGGGAACGAACCCUAAGAAUAAAUACAUUUUUAAGUAGAUAGCUGGUGAAAUUUUUUUUAUAUCAGCAGUAGAUUUUUUUUUAUUUUAAUGAGUAAGACAAACCAUACUUCAAGUUACUACUUCAGCUGCUAGGUUCGAUACUCACAGUGGAAAAAAAGAUCUUGGACUUGGAAAAAAUCUGUGGACUAGGACGUGGGAAAACUGGAAAUUAAUUAAAGCUUCUAGAGUGUGUUUAUACAUUUUUGGUUAAGUCAUUCCAAUUCUGUGAUUCAGUUCUUCAUGUGCAAAACACAUGAUGCCUCAUCUCUUUUUAAAUCUUCCUUUUAAUUCAGAGUAAGAUUUGGUAGCAAGAUCAAGACCAGAUUGGCAGAAAUUCUUUCUUACCUGCUCCCCAGACAGGGGAUAACACGACUGGGUUUUAUAUGCCUAAAUACACUUGUAUGUCCACUGCUCAGUGUAUGCACGUGUAUACAUUUGUGUGUAUAUAUAUGUAUUCAACAGCUCUCUAAUCUCAGCUGAAAUUAAGUACUCCCAAUAAGAAGAAACAACAGCUUUGUGCAAAUGUAGACCCAUUACUCUUAGCUAAAAAGGACAGAUGUAGAUAGAAAAACUGAUCGUACAAUUACUGUUUUCUAUUUGGGAUGUAACAUCAUACAUUUUCUAAGCUUGUCUGAGAAGAUUUUUAUAAAACUGAUAAAAAGAGAAGAUUUAAAAUAAGAUUAUUAUAUGCAUUGAGUGUUCUUACUCUACUGAGGGAAAGAAAUUACAUUUCUGAACACUUACUUUAUAUCAAUCUCCUAUUAACACAACUUGCUGAGGUGAUAGCAAAAAUAAAUACCAGACUUUUGUUUGGUGCUAUUGCUUUUUUUUAUUUCCUCAUACAUGAUUUAAGCAAAAUAGUUAAGGAAGAACAGAGAUACAGAUUUGAUGGUACACUUCAUUCCACAAUCCUCAUAACAUAAGGAUCCCAAAGAAUAAAACCUACAUGUUUUAAAGUGGAAAGAAUGUAUCAUCUAGGUAUUUUUUUUCCCAAACCUGAAACAGUUAUUUUCUGCUUUGGUGAAUCUGAAUUCUUAGAGCUUCUAAUUGAUGCUCUUGGAUGCCCAAGUACAUACACUGUAUUCUGUUUGCUGUCCUGUCUGUACUCAUUUUGCUGAUAAUAGAAAAAUAAAAAGUAAAAAAAAAAAAAAA